GAGGGGAAGUGCGAGCGGGGCGGCCGUUGCGUGCUCGCGGCUCGGCGGACGGCGUCGUCGUCGGCAUCGCCAUCAUGUCGCGGGGGUCUAUUGAGAUCCCUCUCCGGGACACCGAUGAGGUUAUUGAGCUUGACUUCGAUCAGUUACCUGAGGGUGAUGAAGUUAUAAGUAUACUGAAACAGGAACACACUCAACUGCACAUAUGGAUUGCCUUAGCGCUGGAAUACUACAAACAAGGAAAAACAGAAGAUUUUGUGAAGCUGUUGGAAGCUGCACGCAUAGAUGGUAACUUGGACUAUAGAGACCAUGAAAAAGAUCAGAUGACAUGUCUGGAUACUCUGGCAGCAUACUAUGUACAGCAGGCUCGAAAGGAGAAGAACAAAGAUAACAAGAAGGAGCUCAUUACGCAAGCUACUUUGUUGUAUACUAUGGCUGACAAAAUUAUCAUGUAUGAUCAGAAUCACUUGUUGGGAAGAGCCUGCUUUUGUCUGCUUGAAGGUGAUAAGAUGGACCAAGCUGAUGCACAAUUCCACUUUGUGCUCAACCAGUCUCCAAAUAAUAUUCCUGCCCUUCUUGGUAAAGCAUGCAUUUCUUUCAACAAGAAAGAUUAUAGAGGAGCCCUUGCCUACUACAAGAAAGCAUUGCGUACCAAUCCAGGUUGCCCAGCUGAGGUUCGAUUGGGUAUGGGCCACUGCUUCGUGAAACUGAACAAGUUGGAAAAAGCUCGCUUAGCAUUCAGCAGGGCUCUGGAGUUAAAUUCAAAAUGCGUAGGGGCUUUGGUUGGACUGGCUGUUCUGGAACUCAAUAAUAAAGAGGCUGAUUCCAUCAAGAAUGGUGUUCAGCUCCUCUCUAGGGCUUACACAAUUGAUCCCAGUAAUCCAAUGGUGUUGAAUCACUUGGCUAAUCACUUCUUCUUCAAGAAGGACUAUGGUAAAGUACAACACUUGGCUCUUCAUGCUUUCCAUAAUACAGAAGUUGAAGCAAUGCAGGCAGAGAGUUGUUAUCAGCUGGCUAGGUCUUUUCAUGUACAGGAAGAUUAUGAUCAAGCUUUCCAGUAUUAUUACCAGGCCACUCAGUUUGCCUCAUCUUCUUUUGUACUUCCAUUUUUUGGAUUGGGUCAAAUGUACAUUUAUCGAGGGGACAAAGAGAAUGCAUCACAGUGCUUUGAAAAAGUUUUGAAAGCCUAUCCUAAUAAUUAUGAGACUAUGAAAAUCCUUGGAUCUCUUUAUGCGGCUUCAGAAGACCAAGAGAAACGGGAUAUUGCAAAGGGGCAUCUGAAGAAAGUCACAGAACAAUAUCCUGAUGAUGUAGAGGCAUGGAUUGAGCUAGCCCAAAUUCUAGAACAGACUGAUAUACAGGGUGCACUGUCAGCCUAUGGUACAGCCACACGCAUUCUGCAAGAGAAAGUACAGGCUGAUGUCCCACCAGAGAUUUUGAAUAACGUGGGUGCCCUGCACUUCAGGCUGGGAAACCUAGGAGAAGCGAAGAAAUAUUUUUUGGCAUCACUGGAUCGUGCAAAAGCAGAAGCUGAACAUGAUGAGCAUUAUUACAAUGCUAUCUCUGUAACAACGUCCUAUAACCUUGCCAGACUAUAUGAGGCGAUGUGUGAAUUUCAUGAAGCGGAAAAGCUCUAUAAAAACAUUUUAAGAGAACAUCCUAAUUACGUUGAUUGCUACUUGCGCUUGGGAGCUAUGGCUAGGGAUAAAGGAAACUUUUAUGAGGCUUCUGAUUGGUUUAAAGAAGCACUUCAGAUAAAUCAGGACCAUCCAGAUGCUUGGUCUCUGAUUGGUAAUCUUCAUUUGGCUAAACAAGAGUGGGGUCCCGGACAGAAGAAAUUUGAAAGAAUAUUGAAACAGCCCUCCACACAAAAUGAUACUUAUUCCAUGCUGGCUCUUGGCAACGUCUGGCUGCAGACUCUACAUCAACCCACAAGAGACAGAGAAAAGGAGAAGCGUCAUCAAGACCGUGCAUUAGCGAUCUACAAGCAAGUACUCAGAAAUGAUCCAAAGAAUUUGUAUGCUGCUAAUGGCAUAGGAGCUGUCUUGGCGCAUAAAGGAUAUUUCCGUGAAGCUCGUGAUGUUUUUGCCCAAGUGAGAGAGGCAACAGCAGAUAUCAGUGAUGUGUGGCUAAAUUUGGCACAUAUCUACGUAGAACAGAAACAGUACAUCAGUGCUGUGCAGAUGUAUGAAAACUGCCUCAGAAAGUUCUAUAAGCAUCAAAAUACUGAAGUAUUGUUAUAUUUGGCCCGGGCACUCUUCAAAUGUGGCAAAUUACAGGAAUGCAAACAAACUUUGUUAAAGGCCAGGCAUGUAGCACCAAGUGAUACAGUCCUUAUGUUUAAUGUGGCUUUAGUGCUACAAAGACUAGCUACCUCUGUCCUGAAAGAUGAAAAAAGCAAUCUAAAGGAGGUGCUUAACGCUGUGAAAGAAUUGGAGCUCGCCCACAGGUACUUCAGUUACUUGAGUAAAGUAGGUGAUAAGAUGAGGUUUGACUUGGCACUUGCUGCUACUGAAGCCAGGCAAUGCUCUGACUUACUGAGUCAAGCCCAGUAUCACGUGGCUCGGGCACGCAAGCAGGAUGAAGAAGAGAGGGAGCUGCGUGCAAAGCAAGAGCAAGAAAAGGAGCUGCUUCGCCAAAAACUACUUAAAGAACAGGAAGAGAAGCGUCUAAGAGAAAAAGAAGAACAGAAGAAACUUCUGGAACAAAGAGCUCAAUAUGUGGAGAAAACCAAGAAUAUUCUGAUGUUCACUGGUGAAGUAGAAGGAUCAAAAGAAAAGAAACGUGGUGGUGGUGGAGGCAGGCGUUCCAAAAAAGGAGCAGGGGAAUUUGAUGAGUUUGUCAACGAUGACAGUGAUGAAGAUCUGCCCAUGUCUAGAAAGAAAAAGAAGAGGAAGGGCAGUGGUAGUGAACAAGAUGGGGAAGAAGAGGAGGGUGAGAGAAAGAAGAAGAAGAGGAGGAGACCCCAGAAGGCAGAUGAGGGAAGUGAUGAUGAAGAGCAUGAAAAUGGUCCAAGACCUAAAAAGAGACGUCCACCCAAAGCAGAAAAAAAGAAGGCUCCCAAACCAGAACGUCUGCCUCCUUCAAUGAAAGGAAAGAUCAAAUCAAAAGCCAUCAUUUCAUCAAGUGAUGAUUCCUCUGAUGAGGAUAAACUCAAAAUUGCUGAUGAUGGACAUGCUAGGAAUAGCAACAGUGAUUCAGAUGAUGGGGAGCAUCAGCACAGUAAACGCAUUGUUUCUGAUAGUGAUUCUGAUAACAGAAACAAAUCUGGUAGCGAGGCAGGUAGUCCAAGGAGGUCCAGUGUCCACCCAUCUGAGGAAGAUUCUGACAGUGACAGGUCGGCUAGAAAAAGGAGGCGAUCAGAUUCGGAGCAGUCUGACAAUGAGUCUGUACAGUCGGGGAGAAGUCGUUCUGGUGGUUCAGAAAACGAAUCUCGCCCAGCUUCUCGCAGUGCUGAUUCAGACAGAGAUUCUGAGAGAGGAUCUGACAACGAGGGUUCUGGCAGAGGAUCUGGUAAUGAAUCUGAACCAGAAGGAUCCAACGAUGAGGGGUCUGAAGGUGGUUCAGAUGACAGUGAUUAGAUCUAAGUUACAGACCAUCUUUUUAAAAAGUUCAUGUAAAUAUGUUUCAGUUAUAGGGAAAAUCCAAUUUUUAUAUUUGAAAACUGUGAUUUAAAAAAAAAAACCUUAAUGUUUUAGUAAACUGUUGUGAGACCUUCCUGUGAUUCUUUCUAUUAUCAACUAGUGGAUGUUUCUCUAAGUUGGCUUAUGGUGUAUUCUUAAAUUGAAACUGCUGUAGAGGAAGAACAGAAUCCCUGUACUAUAAUCAGCGCACCAAGGAUGGAAUGCAUGUAAAACCUAUGGAACAUAAAAUCUCUGUUUAGGUGGUUCCAGUGUGGCUAAAACUGUGUGUUCUGUGCUUAUACAUGCAUAGAUGGAUCUUAAAAUCCUGCCAAAUGGAACAAAGAGCUGUGGAUAUUUAUCUUUUUCCUCAUUCUGAAUAAAGUCACUUAGGUGGAAGAUUUGCGACAGUCCAAGACUGGAAGCUAGAUAGCUUUGAAAACAUGCGCUUGAAGAAAAUUUGUGGCCCUUGUGGGAAAUGAUUCUCCUGUCAAGAGAAUCAUGACCCAGGUGCUCACCUCUCAGAAUCACAAGCAAGCAGUGCAUAGAUGAGGUAUGUGCCCUUGAUGUCACACUGCUUCACUUAUGAAGCUAUGAAGAAGUGUGAGACAAGUGCAACUAAGGAAAACUAACACAUGCAAGGUGAAACAAAUGGAGCACUGACAGAAAUGGCAAGUAUGAGAGUAACCAGCUUUUAGCAAUAGGAAGGAAAAAGAAAACGUACAGCACUUACUGUGGGAUCUUAGAAACUUUUUUCUGCCUCAAAUACAUCUCUACUAUCAUAGCCUUCUCUAUCAUGUUAUUAAUUGUAUCUUAGUAAUGAAAGGUCUGAAGGUCUUGGUUUGGUGCUGUAUGUAGCAAAAUAAAUUUUCUGUAGGUAAAAGCUCUAGAUAAAGUGCUGAGUGGGUCUUCAAAUGUAACAGCCAGUUGGAGAGAAAUAUUUUCAGUAAGUGCAAAAUA